rnacentral:rRNA from 1 species
GGAACGACUGCUAAGACUGGAUAGGAGACAAGAGGGCAUCUUCUUGUUUUUAAAAGACCUAGCAAUAGGUAUGCUUAGGGAGGAGCUUGCGUCACAUUAGUUAGUUGGUGGGGUAAAGGCCUACCAAGACUAUGAUGUGUAGCCGGGCUGAGAGGUUGAACGGCCACAUUGGGACUGAGACACGGCCCAAACUCCUACGGGAGGCAGCAGUAGGGAAUUUUCGGCAAUGGAGGAAACUCUGACCGAGCAACGCCGCGUGAACGAUGAAGUAUUUCGGUACGUAAAGUUCUUUUAUUAGGGAAGAAUAAAUGAUGGAAAAAUCAUUCUGACGGUACCUAAUGAAUAAGCCCCGGCUAACUAUGUGCCAGCAGCCGCGGUAAUACAUAGGGGGCAAGCGUUAUCCGGAAUUAUUGGGCGUAAAGGGUGCGUAGGCGGUUAAAUAAGUUUAUGGUCUAAGUGCAAUGCUCAACAUUGUGAUGCUAUAAAAACUGUUUAGCUAGAGUAAGAUAGAGGCAAGUGGAAUUCCAUGUGUAGUGGUAAAAUGCGUAAAUAUAUGGAGGAACACCAGUAGCGAAGGCGGCUUGCUGGGUCUUUACUGACGCUGAGGCACGAAAGCGUGGGGAGCAAACAGGAUUAGAUACCCUGGUAGUCCACGCCGUAAACGAUGAGUACUAAACGUUGGGUAAAACCAGUGUUGAAGUUAACACAUUAAGUACUCCGCCUGAGUAGUACGUACGCAAGUAUGAAACUUAAAGGAAUUGACGGGACUCCGCACAAGCGGUGGAUCAUGUUGUUUAAUUCGAAGGUACCCGAAAAACCUCACCAGGUCUUGACAUGCUUCUGCAAAGCUGUAGAAACACAGUGGAGUUAUCAGUUGCACAGUGUGCAUGGUUGUCGUCAGCUCGUGUCGUGAGAUGUUGGGUUAAGUCCCGCAACGAGCGCAACCCUUAUUGUUAGUUACCAGCACGUAAUGGUGGGGACUUUAGCAAGACUGCCAGUGAUAAAUUGGAGGAAGGUGGGGACGACGUCAAAUCAUCAUGCCCCUUAUGACCUGGGCUACAAACGUGAUACAAUGGCUGUUACAAAGGGUAGCUGAAGCGCAAGUUUUUGGCGAAUCUCAAAAAAACAGUCUCAGUUCGGAUUGAAGUCUGCAACUCGACUUCAUGAAGUUGGAAUCGCUAGUAAUCGCGAAUCAGCAUGUCGCGGUGAAUACGUUCUCGGGGUUUGUACACACGGCCCGUCA